rnacentral:rRNA from 1 species
GACGUAGGGGGCCAGCGUUGCUCGGAAUUACUGGGCGUAAAGGGUCCGUAGGCGGUGCGGUAAGUCGGGAGUGAAAUCUCUGGGCUUAACUCAGAGGCUGCUUCCGAAACUACCGUGCUAGAGUGCGAGAGAGGCAAGUGGAAUUGCGGGUGUAGCGGUGAAAUGCGUAGAUAUCCGCAGGAACAUCCGAGGCGAAAGCGGCUUGCUGGAUCGCAUCUGACGCUGAGGGACGAAAGCUAGGGGAGCAAACAGG